GACGAACGCUGGCGGCGUGCCUAAUACAUGCAAGUCGAGCGAAUGAAUUAAAAGCUUGCUUUUAAUUCGUUAGCGGCGGACGGGUGAGUAACACGUGGGCAACCUACCUAUAAGACUGGGAUAACUUGCGGAAACGUGAGCUAAUACCAGAUAGUUUUUCCUCCCGCAUGGGAGGAAAAGGAAGAUGGUUUCGGCUAUCACUUAUAGAUGGGCCCGCGGCGCAUUAGCUAGUUGGUGAGGUAAUGGCUCACCAAGGCAACGAUGCGUAGCCGACCUGAGAGGGUGAUCGGCCACACUGGGACUGAGACACGGCCCAGACUCCUACGGGUGGCUG
rnacentral:rRNA from 1 species